GACGAACGCUGGCGGCAUGCCUAACACAUGCAAGUCGAACGGAACUCUCUGGAUCAAGACUUCGGUCAAGUGAAUUAGAGUUUAGUGGCGGACGGGUGAGUAACGCGUGAGGAACCUGCCUUUCAGAGGGGGACAACAGUUGGAAACGACUGCUAAUACCGCAUAAUGUAUACGGAUCGCAUGGUCUGUAUACCAAAGAUUUUAUCGCUGAAAGAUGGCCUCGCGUCUGAUUAGCUAGUUGGUAGGGUAACGGCCUACCAAGGCGACGAUCAGUAGCCGGACUGAGAGGUUGAACGGCCACAUUGGGACUGAGAUACGGCCCAGACUCCUACGGGAGGCAGCAGUGGGGGAAUAUUGGGGCAAUGGGGGAAACCCUGAUGCAGCGACGCCGCGUGAGUGAAGAAGUAUUUCGGUAUGUAAAGCUCUAUCAGCAGGGAAGAAAAUGACGGUACCUGACUAAGAAGCCCCGGCUAACUACGUGCCAGCAGCCGCGGU
rnacentral:rRNA from 1 species